GCAAUGCAUCGUGAUUCAUGAACAGUCCUUAUUUGGAUCGACUCUGAGAGGGGCGAAACAAAGCGACGCCGGCCGGCGGCCGCUCCGCUAGACUCCGGCGCAUUCCAUCGAUCGUAUCAGAUGACAAGUGCAGAAAGCGUCUUGAUUGGUUUCCUCCAAUCCCAAUAAGAGCUCAAAUCGAGAAAGCAGAGUGAUCAAAAAGACUGGAGGAUUCAGUUGGCCGAGGAAUCAAAAAGGCAAAAGCAAAAGCAAUUUCUUCCGAACAAUGCAAAAAUUCUGACUGAAAUGGCUUCUACCCCAAUUCAACCAGAGAGAUUCAGAACCAGUGGGCACACUGCCGUUUUAAUCUUAAAACACAGCGUAUCAGCGUAUUACACAGGCUUACGUUAGGAGACUGGAAUAUAAAUGGUUAUUGUUUGUAGGACAAGCAAAUUGCUUAUUAAUUUGCAUUUGAAUUUUUGUGUUCAUUACUAAAGAGGGCAAUAUUAAACAUCGUU